GAUGAAGAACGCAGCGAAAUGCGAUAAGUAGUGUGAAUUGCAGAAUUCAGUGAAUCAUCGAAUCUUUGAACGCACAUUGCGCCCGCCAGCAUUCUGGCGGGCAUGCCUGUUCGAGCGUCAUUUCAACCCUCGACCUCCCUUUGGGGAAGUCGGCGUUGGGGACCGGCAGCACACCGCCGGCCCUGAAAUGGAGUGGCGGCCCGUCCGCGGCGACCUCUGCGUAGUAAUCCAACUCGCACCGGAACCCCGACGCGGCCACGCCGUAAAACACCCAACUUCUGAACGUUGACCUCGAAUCAGGUAGGACUACCCGCUGAACUUAAGCAUAUCAAUAAGCGGAGGA
rnacentral:misc_RNA from 1 species